CCUACGGGUGGCAGCAGUGAGGAAUAUUGGUCAAUGGGCGGGAGCCUGAACCAGCCAAGCCGCGUGAGGGAAGAAGGUACAGCGUAUCGUAAACCUCUUUUGUCAGGGCACAAAGGCGGGGACUAGUCCCCGGAUGAGGGUACCUGAAGAAAAAGCAUCGGCUAACUCCGUGCCAGCAGCCGCGGUAAUACGGAGGAUGCGAGCGUUAUCCGAUUUUAUUGGGUUUAAAGGGUGCGCAGGCGGCCUGUUAAGUCAGCGGUAAAAGCCCGGGGCUCAACCCCGGCGAGCAUUUGAAUAUGGCGGGCUUGAGUUGGAGAGAAGUACGCGGAAUGCGCGGUGUAGCGGUGAAAUGCUUAGAUAUCACGAAGAACUCCGAUUGCGAAGGCAGCUUACUAAACUGCCACUGACAUUGAUGCUCGAAAGUGUGGGUAUCAAACAGGAUUAGAUACCCGUGUAGUC
rnacentral:rRNA from 1 species